GAGUGAACGCUGGCGGCAGGCCUAACACAUGCAAGUCGAGCGGCAGCGGGUUCCCGCGAGGGGAUGCCGGCGAGCGGCGGACGGGUGAGGAACACAUCGGAAUCUGCCUGGUUGUGGGGGAUAACGUAGGGAAACUUACGCUAAUACCGCAUGAGACCCUGAGUCGACGGACUGGGGGUGAAAGUGAGGGACCUUCGGGCCUCACGCGACCAGAUGAGCCGAUGUCGGAUAGCUAGUUGGCGGGGUAACGGCCCGCCAAGGCGACGAUCCGUAGCUGGUCUGAGAGGAUGAUCAGCCACACGUGGGACU
rnacentral:rRNA from 1 species